rnacentral:lncRNA from 1 species
CUGUGACCUAACCAGGGUAAACACUGUCUCCCUAGCUACCCACUCCAUGACUAAUCACCUGCAGCCAAGGGUGGGUCAUACUAUGGGAACAGCAGACCAAAGGCAUCCACUGCCAGACCGUGAGUUAUCAACUGCAGCCAAGGCUGGGUCAUACUACGGGAACAGCGGACCGAAGGCAUCCACUGCCAGACCGUGAGUUAUCAACUGCAGCCAAGGCUGGGUCAUACUACAGGAACAGCGGACUGAAGGCAUCCACUGCCAGACCGUGAGUUAUCAACUGCAGCCAAGGCUGGGUCAUACUACGGGAAGAGCGGACCGAAGGCAUCCACUGCCAGACCGUGAGUUAUCAACUGCAGCCAAGGCUGGGUCAUACUACGGGAACAGCGGACUGAAGGCAUCCACUGCCAGACCAUAAGUUAUCAACUGUAGCCAAGGGUGGGUCAUACUAUGGGAACAGCGGACUGAAGGCAUCCACUGCCAGACCGUGAGUUAUCAACUGCAGCCAAGGCUGGGUCAUACUACGGGAACAGCGGACUGAAGGCAUCCACUGCCAGACCAUGAAUUAUCAACUGAAGCCAACGACCUCAAUAAAGCUGGGAAACAAAGUUACCAGGUUAUAGUUACAUGGAUGAUGGCAGAAGACACAGAAUCCUAGAACAGAGGCAAAGAACUUUAUGAGCUAUGGCACAGCAUAAAGCUGGGGCUCUGCCUGAGAGCCUGAGGUUUUUCCAAAGCUCUUCCUCCUUCCUGGUUCCUGAACUCAAGCAUGAAGGCCCCUCAGCUUCUUGAGAACACCAACUCUGCUCUGUUAGUCAACAACAUUAAUUCUUAGUCACCAGCUCAGUGGAGCUUAAAUAUUAAGCAUUUGCCUUAAAGGCAAGACUGCUGAGCAUGUGGCUCACAGCUACUGGUUGGCCCUCCAAGUCCUGCCUACCUCGGCAGUUCCAAGUUCUAGCUUUAUGUCUGCAGCCCCAGAUGUUCCCUAAAGCUCAGGUUAAUAUCCAGAGUCACACGUGGAGAGGAAGCAUCACAAUGAGACCAUACAACCAUAUAAUCUGUUCAAGUCCUAGAAGGUGUUGGCAGAGCUGCAGGACUGACCUAGGUCAAUGGCUGUGGGACCACAGGGAAGAAAAGACACCAGAUGUUUCCGAUCAAGAGACAAGAGAAACAUUCAGCGUGACCCUAGAAAAUCUUUCUAAAGAGAUUUCACAACACUCAGCUCAUGUUUCGGGUCCAUGAAACCAUCUUUAGAUGAAUGAUGCCUUGUUACCUGUGAGAGGAAGUGAGCAGCGAGGAGUCCUGUCAGUUCCGGAAGGAGUAUUUGGGUUACUGUUCUUCAUUGUCUGCAGUUCUGUCUUGCUCAGUCGCCCAGGCUGAAGUGCAGUGGUGUGA